GUGAUCCUCCCCGGUUUGUUCUUUGGGUUAAAUAUCUCAAUCAGCUUCACCAGCUCCUCAGGCACCAUCUUAUCGCUUACCUUGAUGCCCAGCGGGUUGGCAAUGCCGCGGAGGAACUCGACAUGCGCCCCACCAAGUUGGCGGGUGCGCUCGCCAACCCAGAGCAUGUGUGCCGAGCAGUCAUAGAAGAGCCCAGAAGUCGAGUCCUCCCGUGUCAGUGACUGCUCAUAGGGGAGGAGCAGGCACUCGUGGGAGGUCCAGAAUUCUGUCGUCGUCAUGAUCGGAUGAUCCACCGUCAGACCUGCUGCCGAC
rnacentral:misc_RNA from 1 species